rnacentral:lncRNA from 1 species
AAGCCCUUACUUAGCCAAAUUUUCACCCAAAGAAUUUUAAAUGAUAUACCCUUUUUGAACCUUGACCUUAAACAGUAUGAAAACUCUUGUUUGAAUNGAUUUACCUUGAGUUAGGGUUGAGAAUAAUUAUAUGUAUUGAAAAGGUUCAAGUUUGGGGUUGUAUGGGGAAAGUGAAAGGCAAAAGAAAAAGGAAAGGAUUGAGUUCAAAAGAUGAAAAAGAAAAAUGCACGUGAAAGAAAAAAAAAGAAGAAAAGAGUUUAUGCAUGUAAAAAGAACUCAAUGUAAAAUGAAAAAGGGAAAAAGUUGGGAAUGAGUGAGAUUGGUUAAAAAAAAAAAACAGAGUGUGCUUGAACUUUGAAUGAUGAUUUAAACUCUCUUAACUCAAGGAUUUUGUAUUCCAGAAAAACCAAUGUUCUUGUCAGACCAGCCACAAUAUAAGAUUUGGCCCUUGUGAUGACAUUUGCAUGUAAAGAUGUUGAUUGGUUUAGAUGAAUGACAAUAUUGUUUUAUGUGACAUGUGAAUAGUAGAGAGUAGAGUG